AUUGAACGCUGGCGGCAUGCCUUACACAUGCAAGUCGAACGGCAGCACGGGAGCAAUCCUGGUGGCGAGUGGCGAACGGGUGAGUAAUAUAUCGGAACGUGCCCAGUCGCGGGGGAUAACGCAGCGAAAGCUGUGCUAAUACCGCAUACGAUCUAAGGAUGAAAGCGGGGGAUCGCAAGACCUCGCGCGAUCGGAGCGGCCGAUAUCAGAUUAGCUAGUUGGUGGGGUAAAGGCCCACCAAGGCGACGAUCUGUAGCUGGUCUGAGAGGACGACCAGCCACACUGGAACUGAGACACGGUCCAGACUCCUACGGGAGGCAGCAGUGGGGAAUUUUGGACAAUGGGCGCAAGCCUGAUCCAGCAAUGCCGCGUGCAGGAUGAAGGCCUUCGGGUUGUAAACUACUUUUGUACGGAACGAAACAGCCCUUUCUAAUACAGGGGGCUAAUGACGGUACCGUAAGAAUAAGCACCGGCUAACUACGUGCCAGCCGCCGCAGUAACAC
rnacentral:rRNA from 1 species